CGGUCCGCCGCCGCGCGCGGCGGGCGGGGCGGGGCCACGGGGAGCCUUCGGGAGGCAGCAGUGGGGAAUUUUGGCCAAUGGGGGGAACCCUGAUCCACCCAUGCCGCGUGUGUGAAGAAGGCCUUAUGGUUGUAAAGCUCUUUAAGUGAGGAGGAGGCUACUUUAGUUAAUACCUAGAGAUCGUGGACGUUACUCGCAGAAUAAGCACCGGUUAACUCUGUGCCAGCAGCCGCGGUAAUACUGAGGGGGCGAGCGUUAAUCGUAUUUACUGGGCUUAAAGCGUGCGUAGGCGGCUUAUUAAGUCGGAUGUGAAAUCCCCGAGCUUAACUUGGGAAUUGCAUUGGAUACUGGUGAGAUAGAGUAUGGGAGAGGAUGGUAGAAUUCCAGGUGUAGCGGUGAAAUGCGUAGAGAUCUGGAGGAAUACCGAUGGCGAAGGCAGCCAUCUGGCAUAAUACUGACGUUGAGGUACGAAAGCAUGGGGAGCAACCAGGAUUAGAUACCCUGGUAGUCCAUUCCGUAAACGAUGCCAUUAGCCCGUUAGGCCUUUGGGGCUGUAGUCCGCAGCUAACGCGAAAGAGCAC
rnacentral:rRNA from 1 species